GGCUUCAUAGCUCAGUUGGAGAAGCAUCGCACCAGUAACGCAGAGGAGUUGGGUUCAAAUCCCGUUGACGCCC